CGUCUAUAUACGUAUAGCAUAUCAAUAAGCGGAGGAAAAGAAACUAACAAGGAUUCCCUUAGUAACGGCGAGUGAAGCGGGAAGAGCUCAAAUUUGAAAUCUUCAAGGUUCUACCUUGACGAAUUGUAGUUUAUAGAAGUGUUUUCUGUUAGUGGAGUGGCAAAAGUUCUUUGGAAUAGGACAUCAUAGAGGGUGAGAAUCCUGUAUUUGGUCAUUCCUCCUAGCGUUGUGAUACACUUUCAACGAGUCGGAUUGUUUGGGAAUGCAGUCCAAAAUGGGUGGUAAAUUUCAUCUAAAGCUAAAUAUUGGCGAGAGACCGAUAGCGAACAAGUACCGUGAGGGAAAGAUGAAAAGAACUUUGAAAAGAGAGUUAAACAGUACGUGAAAUUGUCAAAAGGGAAGCGUUUGACACCAGUGUUGUUUUUCCGAAAAUCAAUUACGAAUGUUUUAGUUUUUGAGGAGUUAUGACUUCAUCGGCUUGCUCCUUUCUUUAUGAAACUUUCUUAAUGCACUUUUCGGUUAACAAGUCAACAUCAAUUUCUUUUGUUGUAAAAGGGUAUGAGGAAGGUGGCUUUCUUUUCGGAGAAAGUGUUUAUAGCCUUGUGCCUCUGCAAUCGGAGAGAUUGAGGUCUGCAGCGUAGAUCCUUCGGGGUUAGAUACAGUUUGUGCUAAGUUAUAGCUUGUCAUAGACAACUUGUUGACUAUGUUCAGUCAUUGUAGCUUACUCGCUAGAUGCUAUUUUACCUACGCUUAGGAUGUUGAUAUGCAUGACUGAUAU
rnacentral:rRNA from 1 species